UCAGGUAGCCACGGGCGCGCGGUUUGUUGUGGGGCGUCACCUCUGCUCAGCCCCGAAGGUGACGUCUCACAACAAAGCGCUACGCUGCUUACUGCAUAUAACGUAAUUCCAAGGGGUAUACCUUGGAGUUGUUUCGAUUUCGGGGUCAAUAAUCAACAUUUCUUUUUCUCCGGGUUUACAGGCUAUUCUUAUAUAUUUUUUACUUUUUCAGUUCAUCGAAUACUAAUCAUAUAGGUACAGAACGACGUUGAUCCUGGCGUGAUUCGAAUAACGCGGGCUAUGCUGGAUAUCAAAUGGCGGCGCAUUCACAAAACUCUGUAUUCUAUAAAAAUCCUCCCAAGUAUACCCAUGAGUAUAUAAAUAGGUAUGUGAUGGUACAGCGAACGACAUCGCGCAGCAUCCAUAUGAAAACGUGGGAGAGUUGAGGUCAACGCGAAACAAUAGGAAUACGUAUUUAUUCCUUCGUAUGCGAGUAUGUUCCUUCGUAUACAUAUAUAACAAACGACCCCAUAUGCAGAAGCAACUCGCGCUGCAUCGUCAUCACAUGCAGGACGAAACAGCAAAUCCACCCGAGUCUGCUACAGGCUAUGCAGGACCAACCAUAAAAGUACACGUACCCAUACUGUAUACCGUACGGGUACCUACUUACAUGUACGUUGAAAAAGAAAUGGCAAAAAAUAUGUACAUACGUAUAGGUAUACGCACAUGAGGGAUAUACGAAAAAAAUUUUUUAAUAAAAAACUUGAAAAAAAAAAAGGAUACAAAACAACAAUUUGUACCGCACAAAAGAACUCGUUGCGCACGAGAGAGAAAUAAACGAGAGAGAGAGACAGCAAAAAAGGGGAAGAGGGUGAAACGAAAUGCAGGUAUACGAAUGAUAUGCUCGUGCUUACGAAUAUACGUACUACGGUACAUAAAAGAUAAUAAUGUGACUAAUCUGACAUCCCCAUGGUAAAUAAUUAUACAACCGACCAAUUAAAGUUGACGCUAUAUACCGCAGCUGAUGGUGCAGCAGCGGCAGCAUGAUCACGUACCUUUUAGAUAAAAUGAAAAGCAAUAAUGAUAAAAAAAAUUGCACAACUAGGACCCACAUCUAAUUAAUUAUUGACAAAAAACAAAAAAAAAUCUACGACAAUGGUACACACGUAUGUGCAUUUGCAUACUUGUGCGAUAAUACAAAUCAAGGUGAAACGAAAAAUAAAAAGAAAGUUGAAAAUUAUAAGCGCAGCACGUAUUAAAACCUACGAACCUCAUAUAAUUCAUGGCCAAUUUUCAUGGUGCUGCAGCAGGUUCAGAGUGAGAAAAAGCAAAAAAAAAAUAAAUAAAUAAAUGAAAAAAAAAAACAAAUUUAUGGAACCAAGUUUAAAUGUCAUGAAUGGAAAUGUUAUAACGACAUAUACGUAUAUACCAGGGUAAACCCCCCUGUCCCAAAGCCAGAUCUAGUCGAAGGGGUAAAGUGGCGUGUAGAGGGGGCAAAGGGAGUGGUGGGGCGCAGGGGCGUAGGGGAAGAGAGGGAGUUUAUGAGCAAAUGAACAGGCGCCGGGAUAGGAGGAGGCCCCACAGGGAGAGAUCGGAGAGAAUCGGGCCGUAUGGUAUGGCAUACAGUUGGUAUGUGGGUGAAGGAGACACUACUCUGUCACACAUAUACCUCCCGGAAAUAAGAGGACAAGAAAAUUGUAAAAUAAAUAAGUAGAAUUAACUCUCGACAAGAUGGCCACCUCGAAUCAAGAUGGUCGCGGUUCAGAACAGCAUUUCAGCAAAUGAAUGGAAUCAAUGAAGAACAACGAAUGGGGGGAAAAAAUUCAAUUGCAAAAUAUGUGAUCCAUUAUAUGGGACAUCUAGGUACAUGUAUGCAUUCGUAGAUACGUAAGUAGCAUAUCUGAUGUCGCCAUUUUAUAUGCGGUCUAUGCACGGCGUGCGUAUGUAUAUACGUAAUAAGCGAACAAUAAUUCCUCGACAAUGGUAAAAGGAUUAUGCGACGGAAGAUUUUAAACUAUGACUCAACGAACAAAUUGAAAAUAAUUCCAAAUUCCGAAAAGCAGAAUAAAAAAAGUAGGAGUGUCGCAGAAAUUUGCCCAUGAAAAGAAUGAGAUUGAAUGGUAUGAAUAAUGGUUAUGCGAACGUUAAGAAGAAGUAAAAAUACAUUUUUCCUCAUACUCCAUUCGGCUAAGAUAUGUGCCUCUAUAUGUAUGGCAGAAAAUGAGAGAAAAAAUUUCCGAAGUGAAGAAUUAUAUGUUUUCUGCAGUUCGACUACACAUGUGUACAUAUACUCUUAUAUGGUUAUUUAUAAGAAAUGUAUAUAUAUACACAUAUACAAUUCAUAUGUACUGCACAAACAUAAAAACACAUAUUCGGGUGAAACUGACAACGUACCUAUGGGACGAAUACGCUUAUGUACGCGUAGAGUUAUGUAUAUAUAGAUGUAUAUAGAUAUGUAAAUGGUUUAUACGGAUCGUAUAUAAGGGGACUUAUAUAACACAUUCGUCCGUAAGACCGACCUUAAGGCUUGAGAACGCGGCAAAUGCAGUCUGGCCUGUCUUUUAGGUGCGCCCAAGACGACGCGACAACGACGACGACGUCGAGGAGCCCCGCGACCAGUGGAAAUUUCCAUUGCAGUUGGCAUGCCAUACCGCCCACUUUCACCCGAUCGACGAUCUCGUUAUAAAAUGUCGGUAUAUUACGAAGACGCGAGUGACAAAAACGAAAUGAGAAAAACUUAAAAAAUAUAUACGAAGGUAAAUACUUACUGGAUCGAUUCAAUUAUUGAAAUAUAAUUAAUCAAACUGUCAUAAAAUAUUUAUAUCCGAAAAAAUGUACCGAAAUUUUUCUCGGAGACGAUCAUAUACUAAUUACAUAUAUACUUUGCAUAUGUAUAAAACUACCUACUAAAAUAUAUGCGUAACGCAACCUUGAUCAAAUAUAAUUGUCACGUUACAGUCAUUGGUAGGUGUAUUUGCAUAUGCACCUGUAUAUAGGUGCAUUUGAAAUGAAUUCAUAAGAAAUCCAAAAAAAGGCAAAUCAAAUUUUAACAUUUAUCGAGAUAUAUAGUUUAUAAAUAGAAUAUACCGUAACAGCUCAAAAGAUUGUAAAAUAAUACGACGAGUGCAGCCAUCAGCAAACAACGCGACGAAUCUCUAUGACAAUUGCCAUACAUCAUGUAUAUCAGUGUGGAGAUCGUCAUCACGGAAUUCCGGCGAAAAUAAAUGUAAUGCAUUAAGCAUCGUGAUAUGCUUAUACACAGUGUGACUCAGAUCUUAAGAAAGAUGCUUAAGGGAGCAUGAUUUCACACAUUUGGUGUGUAUAUAUAUAUAUAUAUAUAUAUAUAUAUAUAUAUAUAUGUAUAUAAUUAACAAUUAAACACGCCAGUUUUUCAAUCCAUCCCACAAGGUGUGAGUAAUUCUGAGAUCCCCACCCCAUCCUUACAUUGGACCAAUCAAAAGUGAGCUGCUCGAUCAUGAGUCAGUAAAAUAGAAGCGAUUAGAACAGAAGUUUUUAUAUUAUACAUGUAUAUAUUUUUGAGAUUAUUAAUAACUGAUUUUCUUCAUAUGUGCGAUACGAUCCGUGCGCACAGCUGUUUGCUUUUAGAUAAGAUUAUAAUUGAAUAGCUCCGUUAAAUUUAUCAAAUAUACGAAUCGUGAACGGGGUGCUACACGCAUACCAAUUAUCUGGUAGCUGUAUACGAAGCCACAAGUUUUAAAAUUAAUUUUUAAAUUCAUUAAAAUUUUUAUAAUCAAGAUAACACACAUCUAAGAGGUAAAAGAAACUGCGUAGUUAUAAUGUCACCGGGUAUACCUAUAUAUAAUUUACAUUUAGUACAUACCAUGUAUAUGUGUACACACGUAUGUAUAAAAUACCUAUGUGGUAAUCGACUAACUAUACGGUGUUCUCGAACGGCAUAAUCGGAUGACGAAAUUGUGGUUGGCAAACGCGUAAGAAUAGCUCUGUAAUGUUUACGUAUCGACAAUGUGUAUGUAUAUUAAUAACUUGAUACCAACACACGUACAUUUUUUUAGACAAUAAUAGACAAAAAUUAAGUCAAAAGUAAUGAUAUGCCUAAUUGAAAUUUGAAGAAUAAAAUUUUUCUUACGGUAUUUAAAUUCAAAUUUUCCGUGUUUAAAAAUGAAAAAAGCGGACGUGAACGGAAUUUAUUUUUUCAUUUACAAAACGAUAUAUGUAUACGACACAUCUGUACACGAUGUUGAGUCGAACGAACGGAACCUGCAAUAAAAGGAACUCGAUUGUUGAUAAAACAAUGAAAACAAUCGGCUAUUCAAUUAUUACAGAACGAUGUAUGUAUAAACGAUCUGUUUUAUUUAGAUUAUUACUCUUUUCUUUAUUCUCACAAGAAUAUUCAAGGUAAGAGUUAUGCUGUUGAACUCAUUACGUGUGACUGGAUAAAAUGGAAUAUUAUACAGUUAUCGCUAUUAUGGCGUAAAGAUCGAUAAAAUUGCGCGAGACAAAUUUUUUUUCAGUUAAAACUGAUCAUACGAGAGUAAAAACUAGCGGAAAUAUCUGGCAGAAAUCAAGUGAUCCCUAACUUUAAAAACGCCACGUGUGAUGGUCACGUGGUGUUGACUGUUACGUCAGGAAUUCCGGAGUGUGAAUGAUGAUAUUGUACCUAACCUAUCCCACCGGGUAUGCCCCUUCCUGAUACCCUUUUUCACGGUAAAGUUAACCUAACCGGUGAUUCAACACGACGUGUGUAACAGCUACUCGAAUAAAACAUCAUCAUCAUCAUCAUCAUGCACCACGUUCGCUGUCGCCACUCAAGCUGCAUUCCAAACUUGUCCCUAACAGGAGUUAUGAAUGAAACAACUCCGAUAGAAUUUAAAGGGAUACGUAGCGAAAAAAAAACCAAGAAGAAGUUCAUCCUAUCGACGAAUCUAAUUAGUUACCGUUCGAGCGUUUCUAACGCUGGUAAUACCGAGCGUCGUCACCAACAAUCGAUCAUAAAAAAAAAAUUAUUGUUGUUGAUGGUCGGUUGCGCUGAUUCUAUUUUUACCGACAGUUUGACUAACUAUUUGAAUUCGUUCGUAAUGAAAAAUCAAUCCAAAUUAGAAUUGAGAUGAAAUUGGAUUUUAUAUUUUCUAUUUUCAACAUCGGCUUGGAUUUCAAUAUGUCGGAAAUUUAAUGCGUAAGAAAAUGAGAUUUUCUUGUUCAAGAUUUUCAGAAUAAUCAGCGCUUUUUUAUUUAAAAAAUUUGCUUCUUAUUCCCUCGGAAAAUCCCUGCUGCGCAAGUAUGUACAAUAUUAUCGUAACGUUUGAAUGUGUUUUCUUUUUCUUACCUUGACAUUCCUGGGCCACUACGUUCCCGCGAUGAUUUUGCCAAAAGAAUCCACGUCUUUUUCGCCGAAUUACACAGAAAUAUCCAAAGCGGGACACUUUUAUCACUGAUAUUCCACCAACCGACGAUACCAUCGACGCCAACAAGUU